GCUCUCGUGGCUCAGGGGUAGAGCACCGCCUUGGUAAGGCGGCGAUCGGCGGUUCGAAUCCGCUCGAGAGCU
rnacentral:tRNA from 1 species